GUUGCCAACCAGCUAGAACCAACUGAUUUCGGCUAUUUUUUCGUGUUCGGUCGUAUCGUAAUUAAAAAUCUCAGCUAUCGAUCCGAACUGAUUAGUCCGUCCGUAACCGCAUCGGGAGUAGUAGUGCGCGUCGGAUUACUCUCUUUUAUUAAUUUUUGUGGUCAGAACAAAAACUUAAACGUGCUAGUCAGCAAAAACGUAGUGUUCAAAAAGUUAUUGUUAAGCUACAAAUACGAUCUAUUGUAUGUUAAAACAACCACGUGAUUAAAACCAACAGCCUUUGUGAUAAAUAAUAGAGAAAAAGGUCCUAUACGCGGGCCUUUUUCUUUUUCGUUGCAUCGCUUGGCGG